GUCAACAUUAAAGAUGAAGAAGAGGUGGAGAAGAUUGGGACAUCUGUUUCUCAUGCCUACUGAUAUGGAUACAUGUCACCAAGUACAGUAGGAAGAGAACUGGCCACCCCUUGAGGAUACCAUGUUGAGACAUUCUCUACAUCCAGAGAGCAGCUGGAAGAUCACAGAGCCAAUUUCUUUCAGCAGAAAACAAGAAACUGCAGUUGGAGUGGGCUAAGAAUUGAAAAGACUGGACACUGGAGGAUUUGAACAUCUUUGCCUGGUCUGAUGAAUCCCUGUUCCUGCUGUUUCAUGCUGAUGGUAGGACUAGGGUAUGGAAAAAAACAUAAUUCCAUGCAUUAAUGCUGUGUGUCAGCAUUGCAGGCUGGUGGUUGUGUGAUGGUUUGUUUUCAUGGCACACAUUGGGCCUGUCAUGCCAAAUAAUGUCCCCCUCUACGCCACAUUGGGAUUCGAUAAACUUAGCGUCCGUUGCUAAACGAAUGGUGUGAUGACCUAAUGAUUAUAAUUUUGGAGAUCAUUACAGCCUAAAUUAUGUUCUUUUCAUCAUCGCUAUGCAAACAAAGCUGAUUUUCCCCAACAAUUUCGCCGUUUAAAAGUUUUGUUUAGCUAAUCAAAUACAAACAUGAAUUCGUACUACUUUUUGGUACCUUGUUAACAUUACAACAUGAAAUCCACGUCUUACAUGUUGCUACAUUUCGGAAAUGACAAUAAACGCGUGUAAUCUGCUUGACACAUUAAAGUGACUUACCUUACAGAUCACAGUCAGCUCAUUUCCAUUUGAUUGUCUGGCUGUCCUGUUUUAUUUUAACUGUUAUUUUAAACUAGCCCUUGUGGUUGAAUAUGAAAUAUAUAUAUGUGUGUGUGUGUGUCUAUUGUAGGUCCUAGCAUACAACAAUGAAUAAUGUGGAACAAAUAAAUACCAUCAAAGGAUGCCUGGCAAUAUUUAAGAUUGUAAUACAUAAACUCUGAUCGUUUUUAUUUUCACAGAUGAUUUUUUGUACACACAUGGCAGACAUAGUUAACUCUGGUGUGUGGAAUAAAGAGGUGGGUGCUGUGUGGUUGGGAGGUUCUGCCUGUCACUUGUUCUCAAAUAGGCAGUCUCGGAAGGGGGACUUGAAGAGGGAGACUGCGAAGUCCAGGCACUGCAGUGUUAGUAGUUUUUUAGUUCAUCUGUGUAUCUCACAUAUUAUAUGCCCAGUAUGAUAUGGUGUGCAAACUUUAUUAGCAGAUAAUGACAACAUGACAAUAACAGUAGCUUUAAAUGAUGUAAUGAGAUGGAUGGGAUGAGUGGGCAGAUUGUUGGGAAAUCAGAAGUCACUAGAUGCAGAAUUUCAUCUGGAGGGAGAGGUGAGAAAGAGUUAAAAGAUGAGGAAGGAGGCAGAAUCAAGAGAUGCUUGAUCAGGUGCUGUGGCUAAUUCUUCCUGUCACUUGUCCUCGACAGGCAGACAGUCUUAAAGAACAAUCAUGUUAAAUCAAUUGUUGUUUUGUGAUAUCAUUGAAGACGUUAGAACGGAAACAUUGUAACUUUAAGAGCUUUCACAAUGUAUAUGUCAGAGUUACAUCUAAAUGUUGUAAAACAUAUGAUUAAAUUGAACUAUUUGUGAAAAGAUUAAAUGUGAUUUUAGCCUUCUAAAUGAGAUCAUGUUUUUUCAUAUAGACUUUUGCCAAGUCAGUAACCACGCCCACGUGAGCACAGACAUUGUGACAACGUGACGGAACCGCCCUCCAAGUUGAGUGCUUAAAAAUAUUUGCUUUACAAUUAACAUGUUAGACCAGUACAUUGACAGGUUGCUACUGACGUGUAAAAUGGUUUAAAACGACCAGAUCAGACAGCGUGGAGGGGUGACUACACGGCGGACAAAUAGUUUAAAACUACCAGAUCAGACAGCGUGGAGGGGUGACUACACGGCUGACAAAUGGUUUAAAACUGUCCCGAGCUGCCCCUCUGUCCCGAGCUGCUCCUCAGUUAUGUGGGGAUCUGGGUGAGGACUAUUAGGCCAUGGUCGGCGGAGAAGGUGGAUUAUCCCAG